ensembl:lncRNA
UUUAAAUCUAUAAUAUCUCGUGUGCAUACAGUGCACAACACCACAGAGUUGGCCGUCAUGCCUUACGAUCUGACAACUAGCAGGUGUAUAACAGGACUAUAAUGGGAAUAAUAAGAGUACUCAGUUGGCGUGGUCAGGGCGGAGCUAGGGUAUCCCUUCCUCACGUAACGAUUCGUUCCUUAGAGGAUUUGAGGAGGAUAUUUGAAGAAAUCUUUGCUAAAGGAGACUUGUCUUAAGCACCACUGCCUGUCACUAUGCUACACACACAACACAAUGUGAAUUAACUGCAGUGAAAACAUACCGGCCCAUGUACAGCAUAUUUAAAUGUUAAUGUUCUGGCCUGUACAAGAUUCUACUCUAUUAUGCAUAUUUUAACGGACUUUGAUCCCAGGUGCUUAAAGCCGCGGUUGGCGAUAGGAUUUAGGUUUGGGUUUCGCAUCGGGUUAGAACAGGUUCUCAAAAGGUUCUAUUUUGCAACGCUUUGUAAAUAAAAGUUCAUUUAUGAACAACUGUUUGUUUGAAUAUUUAAACCAGGGGUCUUCGGUCGUAACUGCAAAGGGCCGGUGGGGCUGCAGGAUUUCAUUAGAGCCAAACUGGAGGCAGGAUUGAUGGGUGAUUGACGGUGAACUGAUUGAAAAAGUGAAAUCAGGUGUGGCUCAUGCUGCAAUUUGGGGUUAUGGUUCAUGUUAAAGGUUUGGGGUUAAAGCUAGGGUUAAAGAUAAGGUUAGUUCUAACGUUAAAUCUUUGGGGUUAGAGCUAGUAUUAAAUGAUUAGGGUUAGGGCUAGGGUUAAAGUUUUGGGGUUAGAGCUAGGGUUAAACGGUUGUGGUUAUGGCUAGGGUUGAAGGUUUGGGGAUAGGGUUGGGGUUAGGGCUAAGGUUAAAGGUUUGGGCUAGGGUUAGAUGUUUGAGGUUAUGGCUAGGGUUAAAGAUUUGGGGUUUGGGCUAGGGUUUGAUGUUUGAGGUUAUGGCUAGGGUUAAAGAUUUGGGUUUAGGGUUAGGGCUAGGAUUGAGUGUUUGGGAUAGGGUGGGUGCUACGGCUAAGGUUAAAGAUUUGGGGUUUGGGCUAGGGUUUGAUGUUUGAGGUUAUGGCUAGGGUUAAAGAUUUGGGUUUAGGGUUAGGGCUAGGGUUGAAGGUUUGGGGAUAGUGUUAGAUGUAUGCGGUUAUGGCUAGGGUUAAAGAUUUGGGUUUAGGGCUAGGGCUAGGGUUGAAGGUUUGGGGUUAGAGCUGGGGUUAAAGGAUUGGGUUAGUCGUAGGGUUACAGGGUUGAGGGUAGGGCUAGGAGUAAAGGUUUAGAAUGAGGGCUAGAGUUGAAGGGUUGACUUAAAGCUUUCGACUUAGGGCUAGGGGUAAGAGUUUGUCGUUGGGGCUAGGGUUAAAUAUCUGGGGUUAGGGUUAAAGGGUUGAGGGUCGGGCAAAGGUUGAAGUUUUAGGUCUAGGGCUGAAAACUUGCACCAGCAGUAAAGCUUACAGAAACAGACUUGAGCAUGCUCAGUUUUCUCCUUAUUCUCCGAAUACAAUCUAUCUUUGUUUAUCUGAAGCAGGACGCCAUCCUUACAAAUGAAAACGAGUGUUUGCUUUGUGCGUGACGCUUAUUGCUUUUUAAUAUGGAGAACGUGCAUUAAAAAUACAUGCCAUUUUUCCUACACGCCGAAUAACAGCAGCGCAGGUCUCGUACCCCGGCACAACGAAGCCAAUAACGCAAACAAACUGAGCAUCGAGACGGAUUUAAUUACCGCGAAUGUGAAGAUGAAAGCAUGGCGCUGAAUAAAUAAACGCAACGUUUCCGAUAGGAAGAAAGAAUGCAGUAUAUACAGCAGACGGGCGGAAAGAUUAAUGACGGUUCUAAUACGCCGCGUAUCCCCCAAAACAAUAUAACCAGAGAAAAAACACACACGAUAAGAGUGUAUAUGAGAAAUAUCACCUUAAACAGUUUUUGCUCGUGCGUUAAGACUUUUGGACGCUACAGGAAGUGAAACGAUGAUUUCAGGUCUCUUUACUUUGUUACUACGUUUGUUAAUGUAUUAUUCGGAACUGAAAUUGUGUCUCUUUUUUUGUUUGUUUGUUUUUUUUUGUUCGUACACUCGUUCUGUCUGGAUUUUGUUUCAAUCAGGUUUCAGAGGUUCCCAUGUGCUUUUUAGGGAGGCGUGUAUUUAGACGUGUUUUAAACUAAAAACAGUGGAAGAUCAUCAGACGGGAGAGGUUUUCCUCCUUGUCUGCGUGUAUAUAUGUGUAUUAACUGCUUGAAGCUGAACAAAUUAGGCAACAUUGGAUUUUUUUCUUUUGCAUGUGUCUUUUUCUAAUGGACGAGACGAUUACGUAUCAAAUAUACUGAAGAAACGAAGCGACCCGCAUGAACGUGGUCGUUCUUUUCUUUUCUUUUUUUUUUUUUGUUUGUUUUUUUCUUUCUUUUUGUUUCUUUUUUUUCUUCUUCUUCUUCUUUUUGUUGGUUUCUUUUUUUGGUCCAGACAGUGUUCUGGAGUGUAUUAUACUCACAAUACUGAAGGAGACAAAGUAUAUAUAUAAAUAUAUAUAUAUGAAAUAA